GACGAACGCUGGCGGCGUGCUUAACACAUGCAAGUCGAACGAAGAGCGAUGGAAGCUUGCUUCUAUCAAUCUUAGUGGCGCACGGGUGAGUAACGCGUAAUCAACCUGCCCUUCAGAGGGGGACAACAGUUGGAAACGACUGCUAAUACCGCAUACGAUCCAAUCUCGGCAUCGGGACUGGAUGAAAGGUGGCCUCUAUUUAUAAGCUAUCACUGAAGGAGGGGAUUGCGUCUGAUUAGCUAGUUGGAGGGGUAACGGCCCACCAAGGCGAUGAUCAGUAGCCGGUCUGAGAGGAUGAACGGCCACAUUGGGACUGAGACACGGCCCAGACUCCUACGGGAGGCAGCAGUGGGGAAGCUUCCGCAAUGGACGAAAGUCUGACGGAGCAACGCCGCGUGAGUGAUGACGGCCGUCGGGUUGUAAAGCUCUGUUAAUCGGGACGAAUGGUGCUUGUGCGAAUAGUGCGAGGAUUUGACGGUACCGGAAUAGAAAGCCACGGCUAACUACGUG
rnacentral:rRNA from 1 species